rnacentral:RNase_P_RNA from 1 species
UGAGUCGGCCGGGUGGCCGCGGCACGGCUUCGACCGUGUCGAGGAAAGUCGGGACUCCGUAGGGCAGAGUGCUGGCGCGAGCCAGGUUGGGGCGACCUGACGGAAGUGCAACAGAGAGAGACCGCCGAUGGGCCGGGCAACCGGUCACAGGUAAGGGUGCAACGGUGCGGUAAGAGCGCACCAGCGUGUGAGGCGACUUGCACGGCUCGGUAAACCCCACUCGGAGCAAGGCCAAGCAGAGAGCACGGGCGGCCCGUCCGCCGGCCGCAAGGUCGGCAACUCUCGGGUAGGCCGCAUCAGAGGGAUGGUCACCAGCGCCACUUCGGUGGUGCGACAGAAUCCCGCUUACAGGCCGACUCACCAC